GAUGAACGCUGGCGGCGUGCCUAAUACAUGCAAGUCGAGCGAACAGACGAGGAGCUUGCUCCUCUGACGUUAGCGGCGGACGGGUGAGUAACACGUGGAUAACCUACCUAUAAGACUGGGAUAACUUCGGGAAACCGGAGCUAAUACCGGAUAAUAUAUUGAACCGCAUGGUUCAAUAGUGAAAGACGGUUUUGCUGUCACUUAUAGAUGGAUCCGCGCCGCAUUAGCUAGUUGGUAAGGUAACGGCUUCCCAGGCAACGAUGCGUAGCCGACCUGAGAGGGUGAUCGGCCACACUGGAACUGAGACACGGUCCAGACUCCUACGGGAGGCAGCAGUAGGGAAUCUUCCGCAAAGGGCGAAAGCCUGACGGAGCAACGCCGCGUGAGUGAUGAAGGUCUUCGGAUCGUAAAACUCUGUUAUUAGGGAAGAACAAAUGUGUAAGUAACUAUGCACGUCUUGACGGUACCUAAUCAGAAAGCCACGGCUAACUACGUG
rnacentral:rRNA from 1 species